UACGUAGGGGGCAAGCGUUGUCCGGAAUCAUUGGGCGUAAAGAGCGUGUAGGCGGCCAGAAAAGUCCGCUGUGAAAACUCGAGGCUCAACUUCGAGCUGUCGGUGGAAACUUUCUGGCUAGAGUCCGGAAGAGGAGAAUGGAAUUCCUGGUGUAGCGGUGAAAUGCGCAGAUAUCAGGAAGAACACCCGUGGCGAAGGCGGUUCUCUGGGACGGUACUGACGCUGAGGCACGAAAGCGUGGGGAGCAAACAGG
rnacentral:rRNA from 1 species